AAUGAACGUUGGCGGCGUGGAUUAGGCAUGCAAGUCGUGCGGAAAGGCUCCUUCGGGAGUACUCGAGCGGCGAAAGGGAGAGUAACGCGUGGAUAUCUACCCCCUGGACUGGGACAGCGGCGGGAAACUGCCGGUAAUACCAGAUAACGUCUGCGGACCAAAGGUGUGAUUCCGCCGGGGGAUGAGUCCGCGUCCUAUUAGCUUGUUGGUGGGGUAACGGCCUACCAAGGCGAAGAUGGGUACCGGGUGUGAGAGCAUGGCCCGGCUCACUGGGACUGAGACACUGCCCAGACACCUACGGGUGGCUGCAGUCGAGAAUCUUCGGCAAUGGGCGCAAGCCUGACCGAGCGACGCCGCGUGCGGGAUGAAGGCCUUCGGGUUGUAAACCGCUGUCAGAGGGGAGGAAAUGCAUGAGGGUUCUCUCUCAUGUUUGACCUAUCCUCAGAGGAAGUACGGGCUAAGUUCGUGCCAGCAGCCGCCGUAAAAC
rnacentral:rRNA from 1 species